rnacentral:sRNA from 1 species
UCAGCAGGAGCUUGGCCGUCGACGGUGUC